GAAACCACUCUUGCCAAUCAGGAGUGAGUUUGUUGGAAAGCCACACCCCUUCCACUGAAAGCAGGCUCAGGAGAAUGUGUCAAACAUUUUGAAUGUUCAAAAGAGCACCACAAGCUCCUAUUGAAGCAUCUGAUUGGCCAGUUUAUAACUUGAAUAAAUUGAGAUUAAGAAAAUAUAUAAAGAAAAAUUGAUUAGGAUUAGCAAGAAGUGACAUCAGAGGAAGAAUGGUUAUUCUGACUGACAGAAUGAUCUAUUUUUCAAUAGAAAUCAAUGGGAUUUUGGCUUUCUAGGACCAGCCAUGAAGACAAGAUCUUCUGAUUGUGUUUUUUUUUUUUACUAUGUUGUUCAAUUGCAGACCUCCAAAAGUCAUAGCUGGCCUGGGAAUACAUGAAAAGAGAUAAGUGGAAGAUAAAGGUCAAACCACCUGACAGAAAAAAUAAAAAAGCUUUAAAUAUCAUGCCCUUUGGAAUCUCAUUUGCUGUGUAGACAAAUUAUAAAUACAGUGACAGCUAACCUUAGACAAUCCUGAAAAGCACUUAAGCAGUCUGCUUGAUUUCCUGUUGUUUUGUAUUGUGUGGGACUUGCAUGGAAACAUGCAUGUCACGUAAGAGAGUAUAUUUUCUGAAAGGUUCAUGUAUUUUCCAAGUACCUUUGCAGACGUUGUUCAGUGUGCUGUCAGUGUGUCCACGAGUGGAGUAAACCGUAUCCCACCAUCGAACUUCAGCUCUCAAAUCAGGGCCCUGAGAGUAAACACAGAGCACGCCAGAGGAUCUUGUUUAUGAAAUCUGCAGUUGCGCUCAUAGAACAAAAUGACCCACAAUUACAGACCCAGCUAGACAUUAGGUUUUCAGUUAGCCAUCCCGAAAAAGAUCACAGGACACCCCAGAAAAGGAAUUCUUUUAUAAUUCCCUCCAUAUAUGUUGAGAACGGCUGUAUUUUGAAUACGUUGUUUCAGUGCGACAAUGCAUAAUGUCACAUUACCAUAACGAGUGGUAGAAUCGCCUUAGUAAAUUCACUACAAAGUCAGACUUCCAGCUUGAGAAGUUUGUUUGCAACACGUUUCGCCAAGAUUUUUCCACCACUCCCACAGUCAUGCCUGCAAAAGCAAUUACAUCCUGAUCUCCGCAAAGCAAAACGAAGCCGUUUCCUCUAAGGUUUGUAAAAUUCCCUCUUUAUUUAGUUCGGUCUUGCUGGGUGGAACUCUAAGAGUCUCUUUGUAAGUAAGGCCCAAAGAUUUUGAUUCCCAUAGAGACUUUUGACAAAUAGCAGAUCCCAGAAUCCAGCUUUUAGCAUUCCUGAAACAUCUGUGCACUACGGUGACCUAAUUGCCUGACACCUACCGCUCCACGCCAAAUCUCAGGCUUCAGCCAGACACUCCUGAGAGCGGCGAGCUGCUUCGCCGUGAAAGAUUAUGUCAAGAGUGAGUCACUGGAUGCUAGACUGAGUGUGCUCGCAAACCCAGGCAGCUUUUCCUCAGAAACAAAACUGUCAAUUGAACCAGAUGAUUAAAGGACACUUUUUCCUAAUGACAGUUUUUUUUUUUUUGUUAGAAUCGUGGAUUUUACUUAACAGCUAAAAAAAUGUGUUUUUUAAAAGUCACAAAUCUUUCCACUUUAUUAUUUAUCCAGAUGUUGUUCCAGGCGCUUAACAAACAAAUUCAGAAAUGCUCAAGUGACAAAGUUUGAGGAACCGUUUUUUGCCUUAAUAAAUCAGUUUGAGUUGAUUUUAUUAGUGUUUUGACUUCUCAGCAUCAUCAGUCAGGAAGGUUAUAUUGACAUUUUUUUCAGUUUAACUUUACUCUAUAUGUCAACUUAGAUACAAAAUAAAAGGACUCAUCAACUAGAAUCCACCAUCAAACACUUUUUAAAGUUGAGUAAACACUUAAAAGUUUUUUUUUAUCAAUGAUUAGGACAUAAAAUUUAUUUUUUUGUAUUUUUUAAUUUUUAUUCAUUAUUUAUUGUGUCAUAGCAUGAAAGCAAAAUCUUUUACAGUCCAAAAAAGCUCACAUGGACUGCAACUUAAUUUAUUAUAAUUUUUUAUGACAAAAAGUAAAAAAAACAAAAAAACAUUAAAAUAAAUGUAAAAGUCAUCUUCUCCUGGUUGUGUAAUUGCAGAUUCUGUCUGGUUUUCCUCUUGUGUUGUUUCCUGUAUGUUUGUCCGUCUAGGCGCAGCUUCCUGAGGCUGAUCCUGCUGCCAAUUACUCGGCACACCUGGGACUCAUUACCUACCUGCAGUAUAUCUACCACAGUCAUCUCCACACUUUCUGGGAUGGACUGAAGAAGAACCUAUCGUUGUCCUGGAUAAGGAGGAGUUACAAGAGGGGGCAAGAAGUGAGUUUCAACACUGUUCUGACUGGUCCAACAUCCAUUCCUCUUCUUUUUCUUUGUUUACCUCUGGGUUCAUGAGUUUACAUGCCAAUUCCAUUACAGGGAUUAAAAUAGUUUGUCCAGUCCAUCGUCAAACUCAACUUCCCUCGUCCUUUUCUCUGCUCUUAACCCCUUACACCACUUAUGGGUCCCAGAGCUGGGCUAGGGGAUUACGGGACAAGCACUCUGCCGUUUGAGCACCCGCAGAGACAUGAGGCAGCUGUGCUGAAGAAUGUUCCAGUGAGAAAUCCUGGCAUUAGUGAAAGCUGAGGUUUGAUCAAUGGCUGUGGCGCGUGUCAGCACUGGUGAAGGCUGUGGGGGAGAAGGAGGAGAGGAUCGAGAUGCGUGAUGGAGUCAGAUUGAGGGUGUGGGUACCUUCUUAGCUGUCGCUUGUCUGUGUGUCACACGUGAGUGGAAGGAAGUUGGAGGCUGUACCAUCUUAAUUUAGUUGCACUUAUACAACAUUUUGCAAAAAACAGGGACAGAAAAAGCUUUAAAGUAGGUGCAGACAGAGGCAGAAACCCAUAUGAGCUUAUAUUAGAGCCUCUACCUGAUAAAACUUUAAAAUUGAGAUAAAAUACAAUUUUGCAAUUUUACACAAUUCACACAUCUUUAAAAAACUACAUUACAGAAUAAUUUAGAGUUGUAGUUUUCAGUUAUGUUUAGAUCAUGUCAGAACAUAAUGAUAAUAAAAGUUUAAACCAGUUCUUUCAUCCAUAAUGCUAAAAAAUGCCAUGUUUGGGUUUUGGUCAGGAAGAAACUGGCCCAAAUGACAUAUUUAACUUUAAAGGAAAUCUUUAUUAUUUUUUUGUCUUUAAUUAGAUCCUGAAAUCAUUACCCCAGAGAACCCAUGGUAAAUUUGGUUUCAGGCUUUUUAAAAUGCGUUUAUUUUUCAUUUAUAUGUAUUUAUUUAUUUUUUGGUCACAGUUAAGUGCAUGCUUGCUUUUUUAUGGGUUCUGUCUUUUUAUUGUAAUCAUUAACUUGGUUUCCCCUGUAGACCUUUUAUUGUAAAUAUUUAAAUUAUUAAUGUGAGAAGAUGUCAUGUUUUUAUCUUUAUGUAACUUAUUGUCGUCGUUGGAAAUGACAAAUUGUUCUCAAUCGACGUACCUGUAUAAAUAAAGGUUCAACAAUGCUAUCAAAAAUAAACCCUUAGAAAAACAAAGCUCUGUAUUAAGUCAAUGUAAACUUAAAAAAACGAAAAGAAAAAAAAAAGUAAAAACACUGCUAAUUAAAGUAACGCAACUGAUUGAUCACGUUUUGAGUUAUCUUUCUAAAAUCAAAUACUUUGGCAGACUUCCCACACCACCACAACCUCUCACUCUGUUUCUUAUUUAGAAACCCAGAAGUGCUAAAAAAAAAAAAAAAAAAAAAAAAAAAA